rnacentral:rRNA from 1 species
UACAGAGGGGGCAAGCGUUGUUCGGAAUUACUGGGCGUAAAGGGCGCGUAGGCGGCCUUCUAAGUCAGACGUGAAAUCCCCGGGCUCAACCCGGGAACUGCGUCUGAUACUGGAAGGCUUGAAUCCGGGAGAGGGAUGUGGAAUUCCAGGUGUAGCGGUGAAAUGCGUAGAUAUCUGGAGGAACACCGGUGGCGAAGGCGGGUUGCUGGGCCGACACUGACGCUGAGGCGCGAAAGCUAGGGGAGCGAACGGG